rnacentral:misc_RNA from 1 species
GGGUUUUGUUUAACUCUUUGUUUAGUACCCUGGAAAUUCUGUAAUCCUAGAUUAAUUCUAUACCUUCUUUUUGUUGCAGGAGCUAACUUUUCAAGUUGGACCUUUGUUGGUUCCCUUUGGUUUUAGGUGUUAUCUUCUAAAAGUAUGCAUUCUGAUCAGGAGAUGCAAGAUCAGAGAACUAAUUCUGGAAUGGAGGAUUCUACUACAAAGACUGUUGAAUUCCUUCGGGCACGGCUGUUGUCUGAAAGGUCUGUAUCAAGAACUGCAAGACAGAGAGCUGAUGAAUUGGCCAAAAGGGUAGCAGAGUUGGAGGAACAACUAAGGAUUGUGUGUCUUCAAAGAAUGAAGGCUGAGAAGGCAACAACAGAUGUUCUUGCUAUUUUGGAGGGUAAUGGGAUUAGUGACAUUUCUGAGACAUUUGAUUCAAGCUCUGAUCCGGAUACACCUUACGAAUCCAAAGUGGGUAAUAGAUCCUCUAAAGAAGAAGAGAAUUCUGUCAGUUCAAAAAUUAGAAACAAUGAGACACAAGAACUUUCAGGUUCUGACAUUGAAUUUUCUUCAGUAACUGGUAGAAGCUUGUCUUGGAAAGGUUGCAAGGAUAGUUCUUGUUAUCUUGAAAAAUACAAGGAUACAUCUCUGAGAAGACGGAGUAAUUUUUCAUCUGUUGGUUCUUCUCCAAAACAUUGCCCAGGAAAGUCCUGCCGCCAAAUAAGACGCAAAGAAUCUAGAUCUGUAGCUGAGGAACUUAAAGCCAACCCUGCCAAGGUUGAUGCUAUUGAAGAUGAGGUUGCUAUCACUUCAGAAAAUUUUCCAAAUUGCCCAGAUGUUAAGCCUGGGAUUUUCGAAGGUGUUGUUGAAAGGGGGGAAGAUAAAAUGUUACUGGGGGACUCACUUUCAAGCUGCUUAGGAAAUGGACAAAACACCACAAGUAGUGAUGGCGUUGAUUAUAAUGUGUAUGGGGGAGACAGAGACCUGGAAAAGGCACUUGAACACCAGGCACAACUUAUUGGCCAAUAUGAAGCAAUGGAAAAGGCUCAAAGAGAGUGGGAAGAGAAAUUCAGAGAAAAUAACAACAGUACACCGGAUUCAUGUGAUCCUGGGAACCACUCAGAUAUCACCGAGGAAAGAUAUGAGAUCAAGGGGCCGGCUACAAACCCUGCUAUAACAAUUGCCUCCCAAACAAAUGAGUUGAGGUCAGAAGUUGCAGAUUUCAACAAAAUUCAGCCCAAUGGCUUUCUAUCAUCUUCACAUGUUGAUGUGGCAAGCUUGCAGGAAAGAGAAAGCAGUAGCAUGCCUGUUUCCAACUCCUCAACUCAAGACUUUGCAUUCCCCAUGGUCAAGGGCAAGCAAAAUCAAGAUAGCCCUGGAAACAACUAUCAUCCACCAUUGCAUGUUCCCCACCAUGAUUCAGUUUCACAUGGUUCACAUUAUUCCCCUGGUAGCCAAUAUGUAUCCAGCCUUCCAUCAAAUACAAGUAGUAGUCUCAGUAAAUUGAAAGAUUCUGGGGGCCAAAAUGAACUUUAUGCAUUGGUGCCACACAGAACAUCUAAUGGGGUGGGUGGUGUGCUAGAGGCACUUAAAGAAGCAAAGCAAGCACUGCAACAGAAAUUGCCAUUAGUAGCUGCAUCCGUUGGAAAAUCUGUUGAACAUUCUGUGCCCGCUACAAUGCCUAGGGAUAAAGGACAGAUUCCUGUUGGAUGCGUUGGACUGUUCAGAGUACCAACUGAUUUUUCAGUUGAAGCCAAUGCUCGAGCAGACUUCAUUAGUUCAAUUGCCCGGUUAAGUUUGGGAAACUAUUAUCCCAGUACAGGAGUUCCUGCAGCUGUCAGCAAUCCAUUUGUCUCAAGCCCUUACUUGGAGAGUAGGCCAAACUUGUCUACCGAGGAUCAAUUUCUUACCAGCCAAUAUGUUGGUGGAUCAAGAAUCCCAACUCAGAAGCCUUAUUUUGAUCCUUACUUGGACACAGGUUUACCUUCUUCAAGUAGAUACACUUAUCCCAAUUAUCCCAUCAAUACUUCCUAUCCAGACCUGAUGCCUCGGAUGCCUGCUAGAGAAGCACCGUCGGCAUCAGUUCCAGGUAGAACUGUCGGGGUAACUAAUUUAAAUCACUUUUCAUUCAUUGAUGACAAUAUUAGACCAAACACAUAUAGACCGUAGCUUGCCAUUGAAAUUCUGUAGGUUUUCUGGAGGUAGCCCUACCAACGUUUCAGAAUAGUGAUUUUGUAGUAUAAUAGGGAGGUCACUACCUUAGGGUAUGUAUUUGUAUUGUUGUAUUAUCUGUUGGGAUAUAUGAAUUGUAAAGAGGUGAGAUUUUACUUGUGUUUCUAUUUCUCAUUCAUGCUUCUAUUACCUUUCAUACAAUCAUAGAGGGACUAAGCAGUCAUGAAACGGUAUUUUACGUGGAUUCAG